UACGUAGGGUGCGAGCGUUAAUCGGAAUUACUGGGCGUAAAGCGUGCGCAGGCGGUUUUGUAAGCCAGAUGUGAAAGCCCCGGGCCUAACCUGGGAAUGGCAUUUGGGACUGCAAGGCUGGAGUGUGGCAGAGGAGACUGGAAUUCCUGGUGUAGCAGUGAAAUGCGUAGAUAUCAGGAGGAAUACCGAUGGCGAAGGCAGGUCUCUGGGCUGACACUGACGCUCAUGCACGAAAGCGUGGGGAGCAAACAGG
rnacentral:rRNA from 1 species